rnacentral:rRNA from 1 species
UACGAAGGGGCUAGCGUUGCUCGGAAUGACUGGGCGUAAAGGGCGCGUAGGCGGAUGGCACAGUCAGAUGUGAAAUUCCCGGGCUUAACCUGGGGCUGCAUUUGAUACGUGUUGUCUUGAGUUCGGAAGAGGGUCGUGGAAUUCCCAGUGUAGAGGUGAAAUUCGUAGAUAUUGGGAAGAACACCGGUGGCGAAGGCGGCGACCUGGUCCGACACUGACGCUGAGGCGCGAAAGCGUGGGAGCAAACAGG